rnacentral:tRNA from 1 species
UGCUCCGUGGCAUAACGGUAGUGCCCCCCGCUGUUAACGGGUGGAGUGCAGGUUCGAAUCCUGCCGGAGCAG